UACGUAGGGUGCAAGCGUUAAUCGGAAUUACUGGGCGUAAAGCGUGCGCAGGCGGCUUUGCAAGACAGAUGUGAAAUCCCCGGGCUUAACCUGGGAACUGCAUUUGUGACUGCAUGGCUGGAGUGCGGCAGAGGGGGGAUGGAAUUCCGCGUGUAGCAGUGAAAUGCGUAGAUAUGCGGAGGAACACCGAUGGCGAAGGCAGUGUCCUGGGGAGUACCUGACGCUCAGGUGCGAAAGCCAGGGGAGCGAACGGGG
rnacentral:rRNA from 1 species